rnacentral:rRNA from 1 species
GGUUAAGCGACUAAGCGUACACGGUGGAUGCCCCGGCAGUCAGAGGCGAUGAAGGACGUGCUAAUCUGCGAAAAGCGUCGGUAAGGUGAUAUGAACCGUUACAGCCGGCGAUGUCCGAAUGGGGAAACCCAGUGCAAUUCGUUGCACUAUCGUUAACUGAAUACAUAGGUUAACGAGGCGAACCGGGGAACUGAAACAUCUAAGUACCCCGAGGAAAAGAAAUCAACCGAGAUUCCCCCCAGUAGCGGCGAGCGAACGGGGAGCAGCCCAGAGUCUGAAUCAGCUUGUGUGUUAGUGGAACGGUCUGGAAAGUCCGACGGUACAGGGUGAUAGUCCCGUACACCAAAAUGCACAGGUUGUGAACUCGAAGAGUAGGGCGGGACACGUGGUAUCCUGUCUGAAUAUGGGGGACCAUCCUCCAAGGCUAAAUACUCCUGACUGACCGAUAGUGAACCAGUACCGUGAGGGAAAGGCGAAAAGAACCCCGGCGAGGGGGAGUGAAAAAGAACCUGAAACCGUGUACGUACAAGCAGUGGGAGCACCUUCGGGUGUGACUGCGUACCUUUGUAUAAUGGGUCAGCGACUUAUAUUCUGUAGCAAGGUUAACCGUAUAGGGGAGCCGCAGGGAAACCGAGUCUUAACUGGGCGUUAAGUUGCAGGGUAUAGACCCGAAACCCGGUGAUCUAGCCAUGGGCAGGUUGAAGGUUGGGUAACACUAACUGGAGGACCGAACCGACUAAUGUUGAAAAAUUAGCGGAUGACUUGUGGCUGGGGGUGAAAGGCCAAUCAAACCGGGAGAUAGCUGGUUCUCCCCGAAAGCUAUUUAGGUAGCGCCUCGUGAACUCAUCUUCGGGGGUAGAGCACUGUUUCGGCUAGGGGUCAUCCCGACUUACCAACCCGAUGCAAACUACGAAUACCGAAGAAUGUUAUCACGGGAGACACACGGCGGGUGCUAACGUCCGUCGUGAAGAGGGAAACAACCCAGACCGCCAGCUAAGGUCCCAAAGUCAUGGUUAAGUGGGAAACGAUGUGGGAAGGCACAGACAGCCGGGAUGUUGGCUUAGAAGCAGCCAUCAUUUAAAGAAAGCGUAAUAGCUCACUGGUCGAGUCGGCCUGCGCGGAAGAUGUAACGGGGCUAAACCAUGCACCGAAGCUGCGGCAGCGACACUAUGUGUUGUUGGGUAGGGGAGCGUUCUGUAAGCCUGCGAAGGUGUGCUGUGAGGCAUGCUGGAGGUAUCAGAAGUGCGAAUGCUGACAUAAGUAACGAUAAAGCGGGUGAAAAGCCCGCUCGCCGGAAGACCAAGGGUUCCUGUCCAACGUUAAUCGGGGCAGGGUGAGUCGACCCCUAAGGCGAGGCCGAAAGGCGUAGUCGAUGGGAAACAGGUUAAUAUUCCUGUACUUGGUGUUACUGCGAAGGGGGACGGAGAAGGCUAUGUUAGCCGGGCGACGGUUGUCCCGGUUUAAGCAUGUAGGCUGAUUGUCCGAGGCAAAUCCGGAUAAUCAAGGCUGAGGUGUGAUGACGAGGCACUACGGUGCUGAAGUAACAAAUGCCCUGCUUCCGAGGAAAAGCCUCUAAGCAUCAGGUAACAUUAAAUCGUACCCCAAACCGACACAGGUGGUCAGGUAGAGAAUACCAAGGCGCUUGAGAGAACUCGGGUGAAGGAACUAGGCAAAAUGGUGCCGUAACUUCGGGAGAAGGCACGCUGGUGUGUAGGUGAAGUCCCUGCGGAUGGAGCUGAGACCAGUCGAAGAUACCAGCUGGCUGCAACUGUUUAUUAAAAACACAGCACUGUGCAAACACGAAAGUGGACGUAUACGGUGUGACGCCUGCCCGGUGCCGGAAGGUUAAUUGAUGGGGUUAUCCGUAAGGAGAAGCUCUUGAUCGAAGCCCCGGUAAACGGCGGCCGUAACUAUAACGGUCCUAAGGUAGCGAAAUUCCUUGUCGGGUAAGUUCCGACCUGCACGAAUGGCGUAAUGAUGGCCGAGGCUGUCUCCACCCGAGACUCAGUGAAAUUGAACUCGCUGUGAAGAUGCAGUGUACCCGCGGCAAGACGGAAAGACCCCGUGAACCUUUACUAUAGCUUGACACUGAACAUUGAGCCUUGAUGUGUAGGAUAGGUGGGAGGCUUUGAAGCGUGGACGCCAGUCUGCGUGGAGCCAACCUUGAAAUACCACCCUUUAAUGUUUGAUGUUCUAACGUUGGCCCCUGACCGGGGUUGCGGACAGUGUCUGGUGGGUAGUUUGACUGGGGCGGUCUCCUCCCAAAGCGUAACGGAGGAGCACGAAGGUUAGCUAAUCCCCGGUCGGACAUCAGGAGGUUAGUGCAAUGGCAUAAGCUAGCUUGACUGCGAGCGUGACGGCGCGAGCAGGUGCGAAAAGCAGGUCAUAGUGAUCCGGUGGUUCUGAAUGGAAGGGCCAUCGCUCAACGGAUAAAAGGUACUCCGGGGAUAACAGGCUGAUACCGCCCAAGAGUUCAUAUCGACGGCGGUGUUUGGCACCUCGAUGUCGGCUCAUCACAUCCUCGGGGCUGAAGUAGGUCCCAAGGGUAUGGCUGUUCGCCAUUUAAAGUGGUACGCGAGCUGGGUUUAGAACGUCGUGAGACAGUUCGGUCCCUAUCUGCCGUGGGCGCUGGAGAAUUGAGGGGCUGCUCCUAGUACGAGAGGACCGGAGUGGACGCAUCACUGGUGUUCGGGUUGUCAUGCCAAUGGCACUGCCCGGUAGCUAAAUGCGGAAGAGAUAAGUGCUGAAAGCAUCUAAGCACGAAACUUGCCCCGAGAUGAGUUCUCCCUGAGACUUUAAGUCUCCUGAAGGAACGUUAAAGACGAUGACGUUGAUAGGCCGGGUGUGUAAGCGCAGCGAUGCGUUGAGCUAACCGGUACUAAUGAACCGUGAGGCUUAACCUU